AACGAACGCUGGCGGCGCGCCUAAUACAUGCAAGUCGAGCGAGAAGACGUAGCAAUACGUUUGUAAAGCGGCGAACGGGUGAGGAAUACAUGGGUAACCUACCCUCGAGUGGGGAAUAACUAGCCGAAAGGUUAGCUAAUACCGCGUACGCUCCUUGGACUUCGGUUCAGGGAGGAAAGCGAUACCGUGGGUAUCGCGCUCUUGGAUGGGCUCAUGUCCUAUCAGCUUGUUGGUGAGGAACGGCUCACCAAGGCUUCGACGGGUAGCUGGUCUGAGAGGACGAUCAGCCACACUGGCACUGCGACACGGGCCAGACUCCUACGGGAGGCAGCAGUAAGGAACAUUGCGCAAUGGGCGAAAGCCUGACGCAGCGACGCCGCGUGGGGGAUGAAGGUCUUCGGAUUGUAAACCCCUUUCGGGAGGGAAGAUGGAACGAGCAAUCGUUCGGACGGUACCUCCACGAAGCAGCCACGGCUAACUUCGUGCCAGCAGCCGCAGU
rnacentral:rRNA from 1 species